rnacentral:lncRNA from 1 species
CCCCCGAGGAGGACGAGGAGGAGGAGGAAUGAUUCUGCGGGCAGUCUGCCAGAUUGGCAAUUUGAAACGCACUGUCUGUGACGGCUGCUGAGGCUGCUGCGGGGGAGUGAAGGGCUGUCAUGACGAUGACCCCUGGAGGUGGAGACAGAAAAUCAGAAGCAAUCAAAAUGCAGUUUAUGGAGCUUAGUCCCAACAAUUACCUCUCCAACUCCGUCACCUAUGGCCCACUGAAGAGGGCUCUUCAUUGCAGAAGAGAGUGUAGAAAGAUCGGAAGAGCCGGAAGGUUGAGGAAGUUGUUAUGGGAUGGAGUUUGCUCUGAGAUGGUGUCUCCUAGGAAUGUCAGAAGGGCUAGACCAAUAAAUAUCCUUUCAUGGUUAAAAAAUACUAUAAAAAUGAGGUCUGGAAGGAAUUUAUCCUAACAUAGGGGAUACGUGUGAAAACUUUCUAGCUUCUAUCAUUAUAAACAGAAGGAAAGCUGAAAUUGUUGUGCAGAGAUAGUGGUUCGAGACCCCUUUGGGGGUUGAAUGACCAUUUCACAGAGGUUGCCUGAAACCAUCUGAAAAAGAUAGUUAUAUUAUAAUUCAUAACAUUAGCAAAAUUACAAUUAUAAAAUAACAAUGAAAUUUAUGGUUGGGGGUCACUACAAAUUGAGGAACUGUAUGAAAGGGUCUCAGCAUGAUGAUGGUUGAGAACCACUGGUCUAAGAUGAGGAAUAAGACAAAGAUUCCAUCUUCACAACUCAUAUUUAAUAUAGUAUUAGAAGUUCAGGCCAAGAAAUAAAACAAGAAAAAGAAAUGAAGGACAUCCAAAUAGAAAAGGAACAAGUCAAAUUACUUCUGUUUAUAAAAUUAUGACUACACAUAUAGAAAAUCGAUUUCCUCCCUGCAAAAAUUUUUACAGUGAUAAAUUUAAUAGUUACAGGCUAUAAAACCACCAUAAAAAUAAGUAGCAUUUUGUACUUUAUUAAUAAAGUUUCUAAGAAACCAAAGAAGCAAUCUCAAAAACAGAUGUAAAAAAUACAUAAAAGAAAAUUUUAAACAAGGAAAUUAAUGAUCUCUGCAAAGAAAUGAACAAAACACUGUUGAGAUAAAUUGAAGAUGACACACAAAAAAUGAAAAGAAAUCCUAUGCUAUGCUUUUGGAAUGAAAAAUAAUAAUAUUAAUAUAUUAACUGUUCCUACCAAAAUAUCAUUGAAAUUUUUCAUGUAGAAAACACACUCCAAACAAAUUUUAUGAAACUACUAAAGAACUUAAAAAUAGCAAAAAGAGUUCUGAGCAAAACAAACAAUACCGGAGAUAUUGCAAUGUCUGCUAUGUAAACAUACUUAGUAUUACUAAAGAAAGUAUAGAGUGAUAGAAAGCAAAACAUAGGUGAAUGACCUGAAUUGACUUUGCCCCAAUAUAUUGUAUAAAUUGCUAAGAAGAAUAUGAAAAAAAAAAACGUAUCAUCAGAGAAAUGCAAAUUGAAACCUCCUCAAGAUAUCAUAUUACCCCUAUUAGAAUGCAUAUCAUAAAAAGAACAAACACAGGUUGGCAAAGAUGAGAAAUUGGGAACUCUCAUGUAAUGGCGGAAAUAUAAAUUAGGACAUAAGGGAAAACAGUAUGGAAUAUAAUAUGGAAUUUCUCUACAAAGCUAUAAGAAAAGCCUUAUAUGAUCUAUGAAUCCCACUACUGCUAAGGAGUCAAAGGAAAUGACAUCAUCAUCAGGCAUGCUGCACUAGCAUGCUGGUUGCAGAAUUUUCAAAAUAGCCAGUACAUCGAAUCAGCCUAUGUGUAAGAUAAAUAGACAAGGAAAAUGUGGUGGAAAUACAUAACGGAGUGAAAGCAAUGAAGAGAACAGAAGUCUGUGGAUUGUAGCAUGACUGAAGACAUUAAAAAGAGUGAAAACUCAGACGCAAAAGCUGAAGUCACAUGCUCUCUCCUAUGGGUGCUAAAGUUGAUUUCACAGAGAAUAAAAUAAUACCAGAGGCUGCUUAGUAUUACACAGAGUAUUGUUGUUGGUUUCCAGUUAGCAGGUUGAUAUGGGGAAUAACUUCUAAUAUUUUUUUUCUUUUUUAAAAAUAUGUUUUAUUAUUACUUAUUUUCCUCAAUUACAUUUAGAAUGCUAUCCCAAAAGUCCCCCAUACCCCCCCCCCACUUCCCUACCUACCCAUUCCCAUUUAUUGGCCCUGGCAUUCCCCUGUACUGGGGCAUAUACAGUUUGUGUGUCCAAUGGGCCUGUCUUCCCACUGAUGGCCGACUAGGCCAUCUUUUGAUACAUAUGCAGCUAGAGUCAAGAGCUCUGGGGUACUGGUUAGUUCAUAAUGUUGUUCCACCUAUAGGGUUGCAGAUCCCUUUAGUUCCUUGGGUACUUUCUCUAGCUCCUCCAUUGGGGGUGCUGUGCUCCAUCCAAUAGCUGACUGUGAGCAUCUACUUAUGUGUUUGCUAGGCCCAGGCCUAGUCUCACAAGAGACAGCUAUAUCAGGGUCCUUUCAGCAAAAUCUUGCUAGUGUAUGCAAUGGUGUCAUCAUUUGGAGGUUAAUUAUGGGAUGGAUCUCUGGAUAUGGCAGUCUCUAGAUGGUCCAUCCUUUUGUCUCAGCUCCAAACUUUGUCUCUGUAACUCCUUCCAUGGGUGAUUGUUUCCAAUUCUAAGAAGGGGCAAAGUGUACACACUUUGGUCUUUGUUCUUCUUCAGUUUCAUGUGUUUUGCAAAUUGUAUCUUAUAUCUCGGGUAUACUAAGUUUCUGGGCUAAUAUCCACUUAUCAGUGAGUACAUAUCAUUUGAGUUCUUUUGUGAUUGUGUUACCUCACUCAGGAUGAUGCCCUCCAGGUCCAUCCAUUUGCCUAGGAAUUUCAUAAAUUCAUUCUUUUUAAUAGCUGAGCAGUACUCCAUUGUGUAAAUGUACCACAUUUUUUGUAUCCAUUCCUCUGUUGAGGGGCAUAGCAUACAUAAUUACUAUGUUUCUUGACAAUUAAUUGAACAUUUCAAAAUAGAUAGCAGAGAGAAAUUUGGAUGCUCAAAUAUUGUAGGAAAAGUUUUAGAUAUUUCACUUAUAUUUCCAUGUCACAAACAUGUGUGGUAGGUUGUGUUUGUUUUUGUCACCCCUCUGUAACUAAAACCCUUCACAGAAGUAACUUGAGGGGGAUUUCCUUCAGCUCGAGGUUUCAGAGGGCUGUCAUUGAUUUUAGAGAAGGGAAGCACAACAGAGCAGUUCGGUUCAUAUUGGUGAAAGCUGUUCGCAUGGUAAUGGAUGAGGAAGCAGAGCCAGAUAGCCUGCAAAGGGAAUGCCUCUCCAGACCUACUUCUGCCAGAUUGGCCCCAUUCUGCAAAGUUCCUGCAACCUCCCAAAAGAGAACCAUCAGCUGGGAAAGAAGCCAAACAAGACUUCAUAACGAGAACUUCUGAGGACUAAUUCAGAGGGAAAUCACACACUAUGGAUUAACUAAAAAUAAAAAUAAAGGAGGAAAAUCAUUUUUCUCAGUGGUGCAGCCAUUGAUAAGCUACAUCCAUCCCAUAGAAACAAUACAAGUUAAAAUUAAGUAGGGGUAUUCACGUAUAAAAACAAAUAAAAAUGUAUAUUAAUACAAAUAUAUUACAAAUAAUAUAUAUUCUUACAAAUAUUACAUAUAUACAGAGAGAAACUGCUUAGUUUUCAGAAAGAGAUAAACAUCAUAACUGACUACACUAAUAAUGUUACUAUCCUUAUGAACACUGAGAGCUGUUACAUGAGAAUAGUUGUAAUUUAAUACUUAAUAUUUCCUUUUCUUUGUGACUGGCAUGUCCAUUUCUACAUGUAGUUUUUAUGAAUUCAUUUUCAAAUUCUUUCUUAUGUGGCUGUAGACUUCAGUGCCCUGUGAGUUACAAGAUGACCACCAACAAUGAAAGGAUAGUUUAUUGUCACAAAGGAUAUAUUCAAAAUGGGAACAAUUUAGAGACUUAUUUUCUCAGUAUCUCAAAUAUUUUGCUUUACACUCAGGUACUAAUAAUUCUUUCAAUGUUUUCUGUUGCUCACUGCUACCCUCAUGUUUUGUGAAAUAAUCCUGUAGAGAUUGUAUAGUUAUCAAGGCCUCCAAGGUUGUCUUAUAUCAUUUUUUGCCUGUUUAUUUUCCUGUCAAUCCACGUGUAAACAUUAAACGAGGUACUCAUAUCAUACCCUUAAUGAAUGCUGCUGUGUGUCCUUCCUUGUCAUGAUGCUGUCUGAGAUCUUUCCUAUAUCUUUAUAUGUAUGUGAAGGAUUAACAAGACCUAUACUUGUUCCAGUUAUGAUUUUUUUCACUAUUUAUUUCCCAUCAAGUGUUUAAAUAUAAAUUUAUAAAU